rnacentral:lncRNA from 1 species
CAAAGGGUCUCUGUCUAUUCUCCUGAAGAGUUUAUCAUUACGAGCCUUCCAAAUGUACCAUAUUAUCCAGGGAUAAGGAUCUCUGUCUUGGUCUGGUUCUAAGAUAUCAUUCUUCCUCCAGAAAAGAUAAUCCAUGUUUGUGUAGACACUUGACACUGGAAAUGUACCUGGGCAUGAAGGAGUUGUUGAUAAGGACCAUACUUGGAGAGCCGGAGGGCAUUCAAAUAUUGCGUGAGUUACAGAUUUUUCUAUUUCUCCACACCUUGGCCAAUAAUUAUCACACCUCAUAUUCCUCCUUACAAGAUUUCUCGUUACUGCC